UUCCUGCUUCCCUCUUGCGCGGCCGCGUCCCUUUGCGCGCUCCCUCUGCGGGGAGUCUCCGCUCGGGGCUGCGUGGUGGCGGCGGCGGCACGCUCAGGCGGCCGCGCUCGGAGCAAUGGCUACGCCUUCAUUCCCUAUGCAGCUGAGCACAGGAGGGAGCCUCCUCGGGAGUAGGGAGCCUUCAGGGGAGAGAGAGGAAGCACUUCUCCUGCAUAGCUGUCAACUUACAGAUUUGAAAAUAAGGGACCAGCAGCCUCGAAAACAAGGGAUCAGCAGCCAAAAUAAGGGAUUUUAGUCAACCAGCUGAAAUACAAAGUUAAAAGUGACCAGAUACAGUGGUACCUCGGGUUGCAUACGCUUCCGGUUACAGACUCCGCUAACCCAGAAAUAGUGCUUCAGGUUAAGAACUUUGCUUCAGGAUGAGAUCAGAAAUCGUGCUCCGGCGGCGUGGCAGCAGCAGGAGGCCCCAUUAGCUAAAGUGGUGCUUCAGGUUAAGAACAGUUUCAGGUUAAGUACGGACCUCCGGAAUGAAUUAAGUACUUAAUCCGAGGUACCACUGUAAUUUGGGAGAGCAGCGCCGGUUUUUAGCCCUUCGUUUCCAGAGCUUGCUGCUCAAUACACCAGCUGAUGAAACACUGCAAUUAAAUAACUACAAGCAGCAACCACUUUUCGCGCAAAACGAAGUCCAAGCUACGAAGAUGCUGCUGCAGUUCUGUAUCUUUUCUCUCGUGCUCCAUCUACAGCUCUCGGUUCCAUCAGGUGGGGCGGGAGGAGGGGGGGGUAAAAUAGCGCCUGAAGUAAACCCGCAGAUCAGACCAUCUAUACUAUUCUGCCAUUACACAUCUAUGGGAGAAGCGCUUGCGGUCCUUCCUCCACUUUCCCCCUCUAUGCUUAGCCCUUGGAACACCUUCCCGCGCCUCCGCCUCUCUCUGAACUGCUUUCUCUAUGGUUGCCCUUGCUCUCCUCUCAAGGCUCCUCAGCAAUUCAUAGGCCACGCCAGGCUGCCCAUCUCAUCCAGGUCCUUCGGUGGCGCAGCCGCAGUACAGGCUAGCGGGAGCGGCAGCGACGGGCAGAGGGGAGGCCCCAGGCAGAGACGUUCAGUUGGGCGACCACGAGGAGGAUGGUGGCGGAAGGGCCUGAGAUAAGGGAAUUUCCCGCCAAAUAAGGGACAGUUGACAGCUAUGCUCUCCUGUCAGCCAAGAGCCUCCUCCCCUUCAUCCCAAAGGGGGCGAAGAAGGGGUCUUUUUGUACUACAACUCCCAUCAUCCCCUUCUGGCAGCCCCAGCAGUGAGGGAGGAAGGGAGUUGUAGUCCAAAAAAAGAAAGACGAAGGCCAGCUGGGAGAAGCAGAUGGGCCCCCAGGGGGCGCCCAGCCUCGGAUCGUGGCCACGGAGCCCAAGCGGGAGCUCCCAGCCGGCAGGCAUCAGGUCCUGCCUUUGCAUCAGAUCCAGAUCCCGGGAUCCACUGGGUCAUCUUUCAGGUGCUGCCAGAGCCGAGGACGCCGCCUUCCCUUCUGCAAAGCGGCUCUUGAUUGCAUCUGAAAUCUCUGGCUGCAUCCAGACGCCCCGUGCAUUGAGAGUGCGUCCCUUCGUCCUCUCCUAGGAUUUGUCGUUAGGUUGAGGGUGCUUGGAAUUGUAGCUCUGGGAGGGGUGAACUACAGUUGCCAGGGAGGAAGAUCAAUGUAUUCAGCCUUUCUUUUCAUUCUAUUUAGAUCCCAGCAGGAGCCAUCCAAACAGAGGUGUGAAAUAAACCAUGACUAGAAUUACCCAAGCUGGGGCAUUAAGAGAAGGAGAAACUUGCCAGCUAUUUGUACGUGUAAGCAAAUAUGGCUUAUGUUAACGUAGGCUAAUAUCUGGACAAUUAAAGCCACCUUCAGGUACAGGAAGAUUCUCUUAAAUGAAAAAUGUGGUGGGAAAUGAUCCAAAAUAAACUUCUUGUUCAUUGCUCUUCGGUUCUGCAGAUGGCAUCAUUGGUAGCCAACCUUUAGAACCCUUCAUUUCUUAGUAAACA